UUAAAUAUCUGGUUCUAAAGGAAAAUAACGAAUUAUCCAAGGUGUCGAUAAAUGGCGAGAUGCUAACAAAAAGCACGAAAUAAAAAAACAUAAUGAAUGUAUUUUUUAUAAAAAGUGUAGAAGAAAUUAACAAUAACAUUCCAAUAGUCGAUUAUAAAGAUGUUAUACAGCAAAGCGAUGUUCAGUUCCAGUUUACAUCAUUAAACAUCCACGAUUUAGAAAGGGUGAUUAAAAGUAUAAGCAAAAAAAAAGACUUUAAUUUGACAUCUACGAAAAUGAUAUUGUGUGCAUUUCACCUAAUGGCACAAGCUUCUCAAAUAUCAGAAACCAUUCGCUGAAAAUUGGGGAUUUCCCCAAUAAGUGGAAAGUCUCAACAGUCAUACCCGUAAACAAAUCUAGAAACACAUAUAAGCCAGAGGAAUUUCGCAAGAAGACAACGCCAUAGCUGUGAGUCAGCGAUAAAUCUAGUGAUCACGAGGUGGAAAUCAGUAAUAGCUGAACGCAAAUGUGUAGUGGCUGUCUUCGUAGACUUAAAGAGAGCAUUCGAAACAAUCUACAGAAGAUUUCUAAUAAAAAAAUUACAAAAUACGAAUACAAAGAGUUGAACGAAAAUUGUUCGAAAGCUACUUAAGGUCAGAAGGCUGUGCAGAAGGAUAUCGGAUUGGAUGUCUGACUAGAAAUCCAUAGCGUUGGGAGUAUCUCAAGCAGCGGUGCUGGGAACAUUUCUAUUCCUCAUGUACAAUCAAUGAUAUGGAAAAAGUGUUACAUGUAGUCAAGAUCUGCCAGUUAGCUGAUGACACCACUGUAGACAACUGGUAUUUCAACGUACGAAUGUAUUGAAAGAAUGAACAUUAACUUAAAAAACAUACAUAUGUACAUAGAUAGGAAUAUACAAAUUAACAAGUUAAAACUUAAUGUUAGCAAACUAAGGCUAUUAUAAUAAAUGAAAAUUUAAAUGAGGAUGUA